UGACGGAGCAAUGCCGCGUGGAGGUAGAAGGCCCACGGGUCGUAAACUCCUUUUCUCAGAGAAGAAGCAAUGACGGUAUCUGAGGAAUAAGCAUCGGCUAACUCUGUGCCAGCAGCCGCGGUAAGACAGAGGAUGCAAGCGUUAUCCGGAAUGAUUGGGCGUAAAGCGUCUGUAGGUGGCUUUUUAAGUCUGCCGUCAAAUCCCAGGGCUUAACCCUGGACAGGCGGUGGAAACUACCAAGCUGGAGUACGGUAGGGGCAGAGGGAAUUUCCGGUGGAGCGGUGAAAUGCGUAGAGAUCGGAAAGAACACCAACGGCGAAGGCACUCUGCUGGGCCGACACUGACACUGAGAGACGAAAGCUAGGGGAGCAAAUGGGAUUAGAUACCCCAGUAGUCCUAGCCGUAAACGAUGGAUACUAAGCGCUGUGCGUAUCGACCCGUGCAGUGCUGUAGCUAACGCGUUAAGUAUCCCGCCUGGGGAGUACGUUCGCAAGAAUG
rnacentral:rRNA from 1 species